UGAUGACGAGCUGCUCCUCCGAAGUGAUGUUUCCACGUCUUAAGUCGGGGCGGAGAUAGUUCAGCCACCGCAGCCGACAACUUUUUCCGUCCAAGGGAUUCGCGUCUUAAGAGAGCGGUCGGCCACUGCAAUGGUGGAGGAGGUGCUUACCAUCACGAGACCUUGGGAACGGAUUGCGUGCCGUUUUUACUUCGGGAGAUUUUUUUUGGUAUCUCAAAUCCACAAAAAACACGCCUCAGCGUUCCCAAGCUACGAACCAAAACUCCUCGCCGUUUAUUUUGACAUGACACCUCUGGCAUGCUAUAUAAAAAGAUAAAACUCAUGCGUACCUGUCCGAAACUAUUCCAUUAACUUUAGAUAUUUCAUAUUUUCAUACUUUAUUAUAUUGGGUAGCUGAAUCUACGAAGAUUUAAUUUAGUAGAUAUUUAAUUUUUUUAA